AACGCACAUUGCGCCCCCUGGUAUUCCGGGGGGCAUGCCUGUCCGAGCGUCAUUGCUGCCCAUCAAGCACGGCUUGUGUGUUGGGUCGUCGUCCCCUCUCCGGGGGGGACGGGCCCCAAAGGCAGCGGCGGCACCGCGUCCGAUCCUCGAGCGUAUGGGGCUUUGUCACCCGCUCUGUAGGCCCGGCCGGCGCUUGCCGAACGCAAAACAAUCUUUCCAGGUUGACCUCGGAUCAGGUAGGGAUACCCGCUGAACUUAA
rnacentral:misc_RNA from 1 species